GCCCUGGUAGCUCAAUUGGUUAGAGCGUCGGACUUUUACUGGGUUUGACCCCCUGACAUCCGAAGGCUGCGAGUUCGACCCUCGCCUGGGGCG